rnacentral:rRNA from 1 species
CCCUUAGAUGUUCUGGGCCGCACGCGUGCUACACUGAUGCAUUCAACGAGUCUAAAACCUGGUCUGAUAGGGCUGGGUAAUCUUUUGAAUGUGCAUCGUGAUUGGGAUAGAUGAUUGCAAUUUUUCAUCUUCAACGAGGAAUGCCUAGUAAACGCAAGUCAUCAGCUUGCAUUGAUUACGUCCCUGCCCUUUGUACACACCGCCCGUCGCUCCUACCGAUUGAAUGAUCCGAUGAAUAUCAUGGAUUGAGGAUGCAAGUAGGUUCGCCUAUCUUCAUCUUCGAGAAGUGAAGUAAAUCUUAUCAUUUAGAGGAAGGAGAAGUCGUAACA